UCCUGCAUCCGAAAGUGAUCGGGAGCUGCCCGUGCCCUGGUCAUUGGUAGUGCAGGGAGAGGAUUGCUGGAAGGCGUUUUCCCGUGUUUGGAGGGCCCGGCUGCCCCUUCCAAACCCUGGAGCUUUCACACA